GCCGUAAAUAUUUGCCGUUUUGCCUGAACAUUUUUUUCCGAUUUUUUCAGAUUAUUCCCAAGAAAUUUUCGGAAAAUCCGAAAAUUGACGUCUCUAGUGUACCGACUAGAUAAAAUUUCCUUUCAGAAAAGGUGCAAAGGAUUAUUCUUUGUCACCGUUAUAUUUUUGGAGGUAAGGUUGUAAACGGUUGUACGUAAUUUUGAUUUUCAAAACUAUUGGCAUCGUGUCGGUAAGCGCAAAAAUAUCAAUGUCUUUUUUGGCCUGCAGUAAUAUUGUUAUUAUUUUUUUUUUUUUUUUUUUUUUUUUUGUGCCCGCGACUAAAAAUGGAAAAUCUCGGCGCAAAGGACGCGCCUAAUUAUUUAUUUUCGGUAAUGUCGUCGCGUUGAAAUAUUAGUGUUCCUAUAAAUAAUAAUGUGUAUAAAACAAUAUCGCGCGUCGGCCCACGAAAUUAUUAUAAUAUCGUCCGGGCAUUUCCUAGACAUUCGAAAUCACCACUAUACAGCGUAUACCUAUACCAUUCCGUCGUCUUUCACUUUUGUGGCACGUAUGGUAUAUUUUAUUUUACUCUUUUUUUUUUUUUUUUUUUUUUUAUCGAAAUUCGAAAGCAUUAAAUAAAUAAAUAAUAACAGCGGUCGUCAUUUUUCGACUGAAAAAUGGUAAGCGACUAGAACUAAAUAUAGAAAUCAUUUUACAAAACUGUCGCGGACGACAGUACCGUUUGUAAUCGUGACGAAUUGACUUUGCCACUGCAGCGGCGCGCGUUGUAGCGUACCUACAGUACGCGUACGCCGUACACCACGUAAUAUUUAUUUAUUUAUUCACUUAAAAAAUAAACGUUAUUAUGAACAUCUAACACCGCAAUGGAAUAUUAGGCGUGCUUUGGCGGUGUUAACAACGGUAUCGCGUCCAAAUGUUAAGGCUGCAACAUUCCGGCCAAUGGACUUUUUUAGAUCCGACCGGAUCGUCAAAACAUUGAUUUGUAAACUCGGUCGCUGAAUUAUCUAAAAACACUAUUGCAUUACCGAGCAAAAUAAUAUAAUUCAAACACCGAAUCGCAUUAUAGUACUAUUAAAAUAUUAUUAUUUACGCCUUAUUCGUUAUUAGUAAAUGAACAAUGACUAUAAUAACUGUUGUUAAGUACAUAUUAAUUAUGACGGACGUAAUAGAAUCUGAUAAUCAUAUUAAUAACGACGUGACGGUCAUUAUGAAGCCUAUAUUAUGACAUCUGAAAAAUUUAAUUGUAUCAAGUUCAAUAAUUCGAAACGAGCAUUUUCACCGGAAAGCUAAUGUCAAAGAAUGAAUCUUAACGUACAUCUAGUGCGUAAAUGAUGAUAUCCAAGUUGGGCGUAAAUAACUACCGCGUAUUACCCGGGACAUUUUUAUUUGAUUUUCUACGACAAGGUUUACCAGAACUUUAACAACAUCAUUUUAUUGUCAGGAUUUUUUGUUAUCCUGUAUUUUUUUUUUUUGUAUCCUGCGAGCUUCAGCCUCCCUGAUCCUUUCAUCCUGCUCCUUGUAACAGAGGAUGUCCACCGCCAUUGAGAAAGUCUGUGUGCCGUGGAUUGAAGCAAAUUACCCAGUGUACAUAAUGAAUUCUUUAAAAUCGUUGCAUUUUAUUACAGAGAACUCCACU